rnacentral:lncRNA from 1 species
CGUCAGUUAAAUUGAAGUGCACCCUGGGGGCUGGGAAGUAGAAGCCCCUAGUUACCUUCAGUGGAUCUUUUCAGGGAAAGGUUCUGGGGCUGACUCAGAGGAGUCAAAAGGAUAACAAGAUGAAAUUUGAAACUAGCAUGUUGUCCAUCGCUGAGGCAGAUGGUCCUUGCAGGGCGGCCCAGGGAUUCUCAGCCUGAGGUCAUGAACUUUCAGGGAAUCUAUGGAUGGACGUGGAAAUAUGCAACUUCCUGAAACUGUUUAUGAAAUGUGUGCAUGUGUUUGUAGAUUUUGCUGGCUGUAGAUGUCCCAGAACGGACAUCCAAUUCUCACAGGGGGUCAUGGCCUUCCAAAUGCUCAGACUGCCAGCUCUAGGCUGCGAGGUUACACCCUGGUGGCCUGUGGACGGACAGCGUUUGUUCAGCACCCAUUUUCAACAGAUUUAAGGCUGCUUCUUAGUACAGACCUGGCCCUGUUCUGAACAUUUGGAAGAAACUGUUUUUAAAUAUAACCCACCACAGUGAUUCCUCCACAGAUGCUCAUCCAAGCUGCUCAGAAACCCAGACGCUACCACCAUCCCUGCACCCACGUGCUCCAGAAAGUUUCCAACCAAAAGGAAAAAAAAAAAAAAACCCAAACCCAUCAUUACUUAGUUGUGAAAGUCAGCCCCCCAAAACCACAAAUUAAUUGGAUCGAACACAGGUGUUUAUGAAAAGGUGGGCUUCCUUUCUAAUUAAUGUUGAAAUUUUGUCUUAACUACAAAAAUAUAAAUGUUGGUCAUUGGGGUGGACAGAAUAAUGACCCCAAAGACGAUCAUGUCCCAACACCUAGAACUGGUGGGUGUAUUAUCUUAUUUGGCAAAAAAAGAUUCACUGGUGUGAUUAAGAGUCUUGCAAUGGGGAGAGAGUUCCGUGAUGUCCAGGCGGGCCCCAUGUAAUCACAAGGAUCCUUGUAAGAGUGGGGCAGGAGACCCGAAGCAGGUGGCCGGUGUACAGCUGGAGGCCCCCGAGAGCCACGGGAUGUGGGAGGUCUUUGCCAGCUGAAGAGUUAUGGAGACGUUCUUCCCGAGAGCUUCUAGAAGGAACCAGUCCUGCCAACACCUCGGCUGUCAUCCCGUGAGACUGAUGUCGGACUUCAGACCUCUAGAACUGUAAGAGAACAAGUUCUUGUUGUUUUAACCCACAAGUUUGUGGUAAUUUUUCUGUAGCAACGACAA